rfam:Triticum aestivum genome assembly, contig: Triticum_aestivum_CS42_TGACv1_scaffold_406132_5BL
AACCUACUCCCUUCGUCGAAAAAGCUUGUCCCAAGCUUGUCUUUCGAAUAGAUGUACCUAGCACUAAUUUGGUGCUAGAUACAUCUAUUUGAAGGACAAGCUUUUUCGGACGGAGGGAGUACUAC